CUGCUGCCACGGACAGACCCGCAGAGCUUCUUAAGCGCUACUGAAAGCAAUGAAAGAAUACGGGAGCUUCCAGAUUGGAUACACCAAGGCAAUUUUUGUGAGAGUAGAGUGCAGUGUCAGUACACGGGUCGGAUUGCUUGGAAGGAGCGAGGAGCGCAGAGGAUGGCGACGCGUCAGGCUCCUCGACAUGUCGAGUGCCGCCGCUUCUUCUUGUCCCGUUGUUAUGGAGGACGACGAUCCGCCACCGGAAAUGGGGAUCUCGAGGUAGGCAAAAUUUGCAGACUUUUCCCUGGAUCCCUCUAGAUGUCAGGGUCGAGGACGCUCCAGUUGUAGCUCCCGUUCCUCCUGGUCGAAAAAUUAAGAAGUACCGUAAUCUGAGGAAGAGUCUUGGCCUUUCUCACUGGCGAAUGCGAAAUUUUCGUGCUGUGCACCUAAAUUUUACAUCGGCGUUUUGGAUCCGGACGAGCUUCCCAUACCAACGCGAUCAUCACCCAAGAAGCUGCCGGAGCUACCCACUCUUGAAGUAAAGUCCAGUUUACACGACGAGUGCAACACAAGCGUGGAGAAGAAUUCCAACAGGGACAGUUUGCGGGAGACAUGUUUUUCCGAAAGAUUCGACAGCCGUUCCAAGCCGCUUGACAUAUCGAUCAUGGAAGAGUCUGCUCGAGACACUUCUGUAAGUUUGGAGCUUUAUUUGUAUGCCAAGGCCUAUACCUCUAAGUCCAGUUGUGCUCCUGCAAAAACAGCGAUAGAAUCUGCUAUACAAAAGGACACUCGGGUACGACUUCCCAUUACAUUCACAUAUCCUUUUACAGCUUCGUUCUUGUGAUUUUUUCGAUCAAACUUCCUGUAGCACUUCACACAGACGAGAGAAAGACUAUUCCUCGUCCAUUAAAGCUGCAAAAGGAAUCCAACUUGAGUAACCUCCGUUUCUAGGAGAGUUCAAGAUACACUUCUUCCAGGGCGUCUUGAUCCGUUCACAGCAGAAAGAUCCUCGGCAGUGCGUUUGUCCAGCGACGUGGAGCCGAGCUGCUCGUUGCAAUCCUGCUCAGUAUCCGACGCUCAUGAUGAGAUUUGGACACGGGAUACGUUUCGAGUUUGAAGAAGGAUCAGACAAGUGGUGGAUGCUCUCGAAUUAAGCCGAAGAAUCCAGAGAAAGAUAAAGCAGAACUUAUGCUGGGCAUUCAUGUACAACAUAAUUGGUUUGCCAAUAGCUGCGGGGGCUCUUGUUCCAGCCACCAGAGUGAUGCUCACGCCGUCACUGGCGGGUGCUCUCAUGGGAUUGAGCUCGCUGGGAGUGGUGACUAAUUCGCUCCUGCUUCACUGGGAAUACUUUGUUCACGUGGACAAGCAUCGCAGUAAAGCACCACUCGGAGCGAGCGAUAGCAUUGCCAUUGUUACUUCAUGAUUCGUUCAACUUUCACAUUCUUCACGAACUCAGUGAGUUUUGAGGAAGAAAAACUGCGAUUCUUUACUCA